rnacentral:lncRNA from 1 species
AGCCCUUCUAAAGCCAUGCCGACCUUGGGGUUGAACAGACCAACCUUGGAGGGAAAAUGGAGAGGAACGGAAAAGAAGAUGGAAAACAGUUAGGAGAAAACCUCCAAUGAGAAGACAGAAGGCUCAGAAAACUGAAGAAAACUUAUUUUGGUAAGGCAAAUAUUUCCAU